AGCUGAAUCUGCAUUCACUCAAAUAGAAGAAAAAUGUAGCUCAUUUGUUAAGAUGAAAGACGAGGUAAAAAAUACACCAUAGAAGACGAUUGAAGUGAAGAAGAUGGAGAGCUUUAGUAGUAUUUUCAUGGUGUGUAUGUUCAUAAUAUGUAUUGCUAUAUGGUUCAAAAUAGUCGGUUGAAGUAUUUUGUGUAGUGUUGUAAUAUGAAUUUAUCGUUGGUAGUGUUUCUUGUAUGGUAUGGUAGUUUGAACUUGAUUCUCCUAUGACAGUGUUUCUUGUAUGGUGGUUGAAGUUGAUUUUGUUGAAUUAAAUCUCUUAUAUCAAAUUGAUUGUUGGUUUU
rnacentral:lncRNA from 1 species